rnacentral:rRNA from 1 species
GGCGAACGGUGUGAGUAAGCACGUGGUGUAUCUGCCCUCGGAAUCGGGAUAGCCCGGGGAAACCCGGAUUGAAUACCGAAUAGUCCUCCGGAGCCUUCGGGCGCCGGAGAAAAGGUAGCUUUGGCCUCUGGCCCGAGGAUGAGCCCGCGGCGGAUUAGCUUGUUGGCGGGGUAACGGCCCACCAAGGCGACGAUCCGUAGCUGGUCUGAGAGGACGAUCAGCCACACUGGGACUGAGACACGGUCCAGAUUCAUACGGGAGGCAGCAGUGGGGAAUCUUGCGCUAAUGCGGGAAACCGUGACGCAGCGACGCCGCGUGGGGGAAGAAGGCCUUUGGGUUGUAAACCUCUUUCAGGAGGGACGAAGGCUACUCGGGUGAAUAGCCCAGAGGGUGACGGUACCUUCAGAAGAAGCCCCGGCUAACUACGUGCCAGCCUCCGCGG